GACGAACGCUGGCGGCGUGCUUAACACAUGCAAGUCGAACGGAAAGGCCCUGCUUUUGUUGGGUUCUCGAUUGGCGAACGGGUGAGUAACACGUGAGUAACCUGCCCUUGACUUUGGGAUAACUUCAGGAAACUGGGGCUCAUACCGCAUAUGAUCUCCUGCUCCAUGGUGGGGGUUGGAAAGUUUCGGCUGUUGUGGAUGGACUCGCUGCUUAUCCGCUUGUUUGUGGGGUAGUGGCUUACCAAGGCUUUGACGGGUAGCCGGCCUGAGAGGGUGACCGGCCACAUGAGGACUGAGAUACGGCGCAGAAGCCAACGGGAGGCAGCAGUGGGGAAUAUUGCACAAUGGGCGGAAGCCUGAGGCAGCAAUGCUGCGUGCGGGAUGACGGCCUUCGGGUUGAAAACAGAUUUGGCAUGUGACGAAGCGUGAGUGACGGUAAUGGGUAAAGAAGCACCGGCUAACUACGUG
rnacentral:rRNA from 1 species